rnacentral:rRNA from 1 species
GACGAACGCUGGCGGCGUGCUUAACACAUGCAAGUCGAACGGAAAGACCCUGCUUUUGUGGGGUGCUCGAGUGGCGAACGGGUGAGUAACACGUGAGUAACCUGCCCUUGACUUUGGGAUAACUUCAGGAAACUGGGGCUAAUAACGGAUAGGAGCUCCUGCUGCAUGGUGGGGGUUGGAAAGUUUCGGCGGUUGGGGAUGGACUCGCGGCUUAUCAGCUUGUUGGUGGGGUAGUGGCUUACCAAGGCUUUGACGGGUAGCCGGCCUGAGAGGGUGACCGGCCACAUUGGGACUGAGAUACGGCCCAGACUCCUACGGGAGGCAGCAGUGGGGAAUAUUGCACAAUGGGCGGAAGCCUGAUGCAGCAACGCCGCGUGCGGGAUGACGGCCUUCGGGUUGUAAACCGCUUUCGCCUGUGACGAAGCGUGAGUGACGGUAAUGGGUAAAGAAGCACCGGCUAACUACGUG